UCCCUACGGGGCGCAGCAGGCGCGAAAUCUUUACAAUGCGGGAAACCGCGAUAAGGGGACACCGAGUGCCAGCAUUUAUGUUGGCUGUCCACAUGUGUAAACGGCAUGUGUUAGCAAGGGCCGGGCAAGACCGGUGCCAGCCGCCGCGGUAACACCGGCGGCCCGAGUGGUAAUCACUUUUAUUGGGUCUAAAGGGUCCGUAGCCGGUUUGAUCAGUUCUUCGGGAAAUCUGACAGCUCAACUGUUAGGCUUCCGGGGAAUACUGUCAGACU
rnacentral:rRNA from 1 species